rnacentral:misc_RNA from 1 species
GUCGGGCUUGUACUAUGUUAUUACGGCAACUACUUCAAGCUAAACCUGCAAGGUGAAAUCUGGGGCUGGUCCUGCUUCUUUGUCGCCAUAGCUGCUGUUGCUUUUGGUUCUGCCUACUACCAUCUCGAGCCAAAUGAUGCACGUCUUGUUUGGGAUCGUCUACCUAUGACUGUUGCAUUCACAUCAAUCAUGGCAAUCUUCAUCAUUGAAAGGGU